rnacentral:misc_RNA from 1 species
UCUCCGUAGGUGAACCUGCGGAGGGAUCAUUGAAUUAUUAAAACCACAAUGCGAACCUCAACGUUUCGUGCCUUGGCUUGCCAGUGGGGCAUUCGGUAAAUCCGUAUGGAGCCCACAGCUGAGCGAGCAAUGCUGCCCGCUCAGUGGCGCCUUGGCAUGCUUAUACACCAGUGCUAACCACUGUUAAAACCAAAUACUGAAUUUGUGAUUGCUAGUAAUUGGCAAUCUUAACCAAAGAUAACUCUCAACAACGGAUAUCUUGGCUCUC